CAAUUAUUGAUGAGUCCCACAAUAGGACGAAACGGCAGUCCAGUGC
rfam:Schistosoma mansoni strain Puerto Rico chromosome 2, complete genome